rnacentral:rRNA from 1 species
AGUGGCGACGGGUGAGUAACACGUGGGCAAUCUGCCCUUCACUCUGGGACAAGCCCUGGAAACGGGGUCUAAUACCGGAUAACACUGCGGAUCGCAUGGUCUGCGGUUGAAAGCUCCGGCGGUGAAGGAUGAGCCCGCGGCCUAUCAGCUUGUUGGUGGGGUGAUGGCCUACCAAGGCGACGACGGGUAGCCGGCCUGAGAGGGCGACCGGCCACACUGGGACUGAGACACGGCCCAGACUCCUACGGGAGGCAGCAGUGGGGAAUAUUGCACAAUGGGCGAAAGCCUGAUGCAGCGACGCCGCGUGAGGGAUGACGGCCUUCGGGUUGUAAACCUCUUUCAGCAGGGAAGAAGCGAAAGUGACGGUACCUGCAGAAGAAGCGCCGGCUAACUACGUGCCAGCAGCCGCGGUAAUACGUAGGGCGCAAGCGUUGUCCGGAAUUAUUGGGCGUAAAGAGCUCGUAGGCGGCUUGUCGCGUCGGAUGUGAAAGCCCGGGGCUUAACCCCGGGUCUGCAUUCGAUACGGGCAGGCUAGAGUGUGGUAGGGGAGAUCGGAAUUCCUGGUGUAGCGGUGAAAUGCGCAGAUAUCAGGAGGAACACCGGUGGCGAAGGCGGAUCUCUGGGCCAUUACUGACGCUGAGGAGCGAAAGCGUGGGGAGCGAACAGGAUUAGAUACCCUGGUAGUCCACGCCGUAAACGUUGGGAACUAGGUGUUGGCGACAUUCCACGUCGUCGGUGCCGCAGCUAACGCAUUAAGUUCCCCGCCUGGGGAGUACGGCCGCAAGGCUAAACUCAAGGAAUUGACGGGGCCCGCACAGCAGCCGAGCAUGUUGCUAUCGACGCACGCGAGACUACAGCUGACAU